rnacentral:rRNA from 1 species
GUUUGAUCUUGGCUCAGAUUGAACGCUGGCGGCAUGCCUUACACAUGCAAGUCGAACGGUAACAGGUCUUCGGACGCUGGCGAGUGGCGAACGGGUGAGUAAUACAUCGGAACGUGCCCAGUCGUGGGGAUAACUACUCGAAAGAGUAGCUAAUACCGCAUACGAUCUGAGGAUGAAAGCGGGGGACCUUCGGGCCUCGCGCGAUUGGAGCGGCCGAUGGCAGAUUAGGUAGUUGGUGGGAUAAAAGCUUACCAAGCCGACGAUCUGUAGCUGGUCUGAGAGGACGACCAGCCACACUGGGACUGAGACACGGCCCAGACUCCUACGGGAGGCAGCAGUGGGGAAUUUUGGACAAUGGGCGAAAGCCUGAUCCAGCAAUGCCGCGUGCAGGAUGAAGGCCUCGGUUGUAACUGCUUUGUACGGAACGAAAAGACUUCUCCUAAUACGAGAGGCCCGAUGACGGUACCGUAAGAAUAAGACACCGGCUAACUACGU